GAUGAAGAACGUAGCGAAAUGCGAUAGUAGUGUGAAUUGCAGAAUUCAGUGAAUCAUCGAAUCUUUGAACGCACAUUGCGCCCUUUGGUAUUCCUUAGGGCAUGCCUGUUCGAGCGUCAUUUGAAACCUCAAGCUCAGCUUGGUGUUGGGUGUCUGUCCCCGCCUCCGCGGGGACUCGCCUCAAAAUCAUUGGCGGCCGGUACGUUGGCUUCGAGCGCAGCAGAAACGCGAACUCGAGGCCCGGCGGAUCGGCGACCAGAAGUCUCUUCUUCACAGUUUGACCUCGGAUCAGGUAGGGAUACCCGCUGAACUUAAGCAUAUCAAUAAGCGGAGGA
rnacentral:misc_RNA from 1 species